CGUAAAUAUGCAUUAGAUCAAGAGUGGCAUGAUGGCAGGUGACAGCGGGGCCCUGGCCGCCGCCAUGGUUACCACGGGAAACCUCGGAUCCCGUUGUAUAAUGAGCUCACCUUUAAAUGACUCGGAGCCACACGCGCAGGAACACGGGGUAAGGUGCAGGGCGCUGAAGGAACGCCCGUCUUUAGAGGCAGCAAGACACUCCCAGGGUACGAAGGCCCGGUCUCCACGCCCGGGCACGGAUCAAUGGCGGGAAAAAAAAGUGGAAUUAGUCAUUCUAAAUCAUGCAGCAUGUGGUCGAACAGAGAGCCCCUAGGAAAAUCAUUAAACAAUCAUGUAUUCCCAUUGA
ensembl:lncRNA